CGUUAAUGAAAUAGCAAUAACCAAAUAACGCUUGAUAUGGACACGUUUUGGGGAUUGGACACGUUUGGGGGUUAGUUGAGAAAUGGACACGUUUGGGCGUUUAUACAAAUGACACGCUUUGGCGCAGUUUUCAACUAGACAUGUUUGGGGGAAUCGGACACGUUUGGGAGGAAGGACACGUUUCUGAGUGUUACAUAUAUAUGU
rnacentral:lncRNA from 1 species